rnacentral:misc_RNA from 1 species
GAUGAAGAACGCAUCGAAAUGCGAUAAGUAAUGUGAAUUGCAGAAUUCAGUGAAUCAUCGAAUCUUUGAACGCACCUUGCACCCUUUGGCAUUCCGAAGGGUAUGCUCGUUUGAGUGUCAUUGUACUCUCACACUCUCCGAUCCUAUGGAUUCGGGGAGCGGUGGACUUGGGUGUUGCUGCCUUUCCCUGUGGCUCACCUCAAAUGCGUCAGUGCACCUCUUGGUUGGACAUAGUACGGCGUGAUAAGUGUCUUCGCCGGCACCUCGCAAGAGGGUGGCCGAUCGGGAGCUCUGCGCUUUCAAACCGUCUUCGGACAAUUUCUGACAUCUUGACCUCAAAUCGAGUAGGACUACCCGCUGAACUUAAGCAUAUCAAUAAGCGGAGGA